GUGUCCCUGUGUGUGAGCCAGAAAAGAAACCUUAAAAAUUAGCGGCCUCGGGUGUGGUUGGUGAUGAGUGUGUGAGCGUGAGUAUGAGUGAGUGUGCAAAGUGAGUGUGUGCGCCCACCCCUGCGCCUCUUCCCUGCCUACACCUUGAUCUUAUUUGAUCAGGUCGAACCCCCAGCCCCAGCCCCGUCGGUUUCGACCCGAGAUGAGAAAAACCUCCCUCUGCGAAGGCCCCCUUCUUGGACCCUGUGCAGUGAGGCCUUCCUAGAGGCUUAGACAUCAUCACCUGAGACCUAGUUCGAUCCCGACCCAGAGUCGGUUCCGAGAGGUUCGGUGCUCAGAUGUGAUGAAUUGAUCAUAGACGAGGCCUGGAGGUUCACCUCCGGGAUUGCUGAUUUAUCAAAGGCGAUUAUGAUCUGA